GACGAACGUUGGCGGCGUGCUUAAUACAUGCAAGUCAACUGAAGCAGUGGUAGCAAUAUCUCUGUGGAGGUGGCGCACGGGUGAGUAACACGUAGGUAAUCUGCCUUCAGGUCUGGCAUAACUCCGGGAAACCGGGGCUAAUAGCAGAUGAUGCAGCGGCUCGACAUCGAGACAGUUGUUAAAGCUAUGGCGCCUGAAGAUGAGCCUGCGUCUGAUUAGCUAGUUGGCGGGGUAACGGCCCACCAAGGCAACGAUCAGUAGCUGGUCUGAGAGGAUGAUCAGCCACACUGGAACUGAGACACGGUCCAGACUCCUACGGGAGGCAGCAGUAAGGAAUAUUGCUCAAUGGGAGAAAUCCUGAAGCAGCAACGCCGCGUGAGGGACGAAGGGCUUUUGCUUGUAAACCUCUGUAGUGAGAGAAAAAAAUCCCAAUCUUUGGGACAUGAUGGUAUCUCAAAAGUAAGCCCCGGCUAACUACGUG
rnacentral:rRNA from 1 species